rnacentral:lncRNA from 1 species
UGCUGCUAUUUGUUCAGAUUGGGGGAGGCUAGAGAGGCUUGCUUGAUGUUGUGUUUGCUACGUCAGAGAGCAGUGAGAACUGAGAUUUGGGUGGGGUGGGGGUGGAGGUAGCAGGGAGAGGAUGUUUACUCGAUGGAAGAUGACAGGGUAUGUUGCUUGCUACUGCUACUGUGUGUGUUAUUGUGUUGUUUUGUAGUAUUUCUGAACUGUUAGAGAUAUUGUCGCAGUGAGAUUUUGUUCCCAAUAUGGAUAUAUGGUCUUUUCCAGUGCAUGGCAAAACUAACUAAUGAUUGGGUGGUAACCUCAUGAUUGGGUGGUGCAUGCAGGGCACGCCUCCGAGCUAGCCGAUGCCUACUGUAUCCAGUGUUCUGCUGCAUCCGGUGCCACCUCAAAGAACACCUUCUAGCUGGGCAUUGAACGCCUCAGGGACGACGAGGUGCAGCAACUGGGGUGGAAGAAGUUAAACUACAUGAUGAAGAAUUGAGUGAAGGGGUUAAGACGGUUGCGUUGUGCAUGCGCUGCUUGCUUGCCGGUGAGUGUCACCAUUGUGACUAGGUGUUCUUUGUUGCCUAUGCCCUCUGUAGUUUAAGGUGUUUGUUCUUUUAGCAGCCCAUAAAAUACUGCAAUGUAAACGAUUGUCUUCUCUAUGUCUACAGCAUGCACUAGAAGUAUAGAACUAAUGGCAGUGUUUUGUCUAUACAAUAUAUUAGUAUAUCAUAUAUGUUUUUGUUUCUAAGUGUAUUAUAAAUUAGUAUAGACUAUCUAUCAUCCUUUCAUUCAGUCUUUGCAAAGAAGUUUAGUUGCCUUCCGUAUGGUUUUAUCAACAGUUCUUUUGUGCAGUUGACACAAUGGUAUGCUGUUUGUGUAUAGUUUUAUCCACCAUUUAUAGGGAAUACAUAUGUUUCUUAGGUUCCCUUGCUGCAAAUGUUAAAAAACUUAAAUACAGUGAAUGAAUGUAUUUUUAGAUGGAAAACGCCAUUUCCAGUAAUAGGUGGACAACCUCAAAAGAAUUGCUCGAGUAACAUGUUUCCAAGUAGCAGACUGCAUAAUCUUUCAAAUUAUAGGCAAUGCUAUACAAGAAACACUGAUCUAGGAGUUUUUUUUACGGUGCACUGAUCUAGGAGUUAGUAUAGUACUUUGUAUUUCCUUCUGAGCCGGUGCUUAAAAGCUACUCCCUCCGAGUGUCAAAAAACGUUUUACAUUAUGGGACGCAGGGAGUAAUACGCACCUGGGACUGGUUAGGACACUGUUACCAGAUACGUUUUCAAUUUCAGUCCAUGGUGGAGAUUUAGUGGAGCUAGAGAAAGUGAGCAUGUAAUGAUAUAAUCAGUACAAUGGCACAGAGCCAAAUCAGAACUCAUGAAAGUGGACAUUUCUCAGUUAUGAUUGAUCACAAUAUGUUAGAAAACACUCCCUCCGUUCCUAAAUAUAAGUCUUUGUAGAGAUUUCACUAUGAACCACAUACGGAUGUAUAUACAUGCAUUUUAGAAUGUAGAUUCACUCAUUUUGCUCCGUAUGUAGUCCAUAGUGAAAUCUCUACAAAUACUUAUAUUUAGGAACGGAGGGAGUAGUAAAAUGCAGCAAUUUAGAACUAAGACGCACAAUGAAACUAAUUGAACAUGAUCGAGAACUAAUGGUAGUGCUUUCCGCCGCGGCAACUUACUUUUGGUUUCACUCAUGACAACAUUUUCUCAAGAUAUUUAGGUUGCACGAUUUGGCUUUUGGAGGCAAUUUCAUCUUAUUCUUUAGUUAUUUAGUCAAAAUUAUCACAAGACAUGAUCCUAAUUGUUUCCAGAUCUAUAUCUUUGUUCAAUAUGCCUUCGCUGAAAUUCUGAACAAGCUAAGGUGCUAAGCUCGUGGUGUAAUUCUUAUGGUGGAGGGAAUCAUAAUUGAUAUUGGGACAAAGUCCGGCCUGGCGGCUAUGCACGUACAAGUAUAACUACAUCGUCUGCCUUCACUGAGUUCCAAAAGAAAUUCGCCAAAAUCAAAUAUCACGACACUCUAUUUAGGCUAAACAGAAGUGCCUUCAGUUUAUGAGAUCUCAGAAAUUUUGAGAAUAGUAGCACAUGAUCUGCAAUUGUGUCUUUGCAAGUUUUACUGAUUUAGUGUUUUUUUUUGUUGCAAGGUCCUAAAACAGUUUACCCUUUUGAUCCCUAGAUUUUCUUACUAAUUGUAGAUUGUUGAAAUUUCUUGCAAAUAAAUAGACAAUAUGUUUGGGGUUUAUCUGAGUGCCUAGCAUGGUGCAACAGUUAUAUUUCUCAUCUACGAUGUUGAAAGAGCUAUAACUUAUAUCGAUCUCUGAUUCAAAUUCUUUUUUUCUAGGGAGGGCAUUGCAACUAUUCAUGGUGAGCACCAUAUAAGUAAUUUAGUCUAUUAAUUAGUUUCCACUAGAGAAGGGGAGCCUUGGCGCAGUGGUAAAGCUGCUGCCUUGUGACCAUGAGGUCACGGGUUCAAGUCCUGGAAACAGCCUCUUGCAGAAAUGUAGGGAAAGGCUGCGUACAAUAGACCCAAAGUGGUCGGACCCUUUCCCAGACCCUGCGCAAGCGGGAGCUACAUGCACUGGGGCUGCCCUUUUAAUUAGUUUCCACUAGAAAAAAGUUGUGGUCAUGGCGUGCUAUCUAUCCCAAGUCCUCUUUCUGGCCACGGUAGCCAAAUCAUAUAAGUUAUUUCUGUAUGAUCUGACCUAAGCAUUACUGUUGCAAGUAACCUUCCAUAUCGAAAUUAACUUCUCUAUGAUCUGACCUAUUGAGCUCAUCACAAAGACCAUAAAAUCGGCUCUAUCCCUGAUGUCCGAUAAAAAAGGGGAACUAUAGCCUCAGAUCGAAAAAGUUUCUUUUCUUUUGUGAUUUUGCAGCGGGACUUGUGCAAUUGGUAGAUAGCAUUUGCCUUCCGAAAAUUUUCCUUGAGACCAUGAGAGUCUGAAGAAAAAAUGAUUAAUUAUUAAUGUUGUUAUAUUUAUGCAAGUUGAAUGCUAUUAAAAAUUUCUUAUUUCCCUUAUCGGGAAUGAAUUGUGAUUUAUACUAGCUGUUAGACAAAUAUUGGAACACAGUGUGCAUGAUAGUUCUUUUUAGAAUACGUAAAGAACUUUGUGUCCCGAUGAACUCACAAAAAAAGAGAUUUGAAAUUAUGUCCAAGCCUAAAGAAGGGCCACGUCUAAAAUAGAACACCACACCUCUUUUUAAAAUUACUGACGGGUUGAUGUUGUUGCAUGUCGUGGCGGGGACGGCCGUGUAGCAGCCGUAUGCGCACUGCUUGUGCUGGGCGCCGAUCUGGAGGCCCCUGAUCGGAAGGGAUGCCACUGGAGUUGCUGCGGGAGAUGGUAGCGGUACACCCAGUGGCAAGGCACCAUAUGACAGACAAUUGUGGUCUGCAUUUUUUUAACCAAAAUACUGAACAUUCAAGCUGCAAUAGUGGAGCUGCAUGUGCUGCUAUAGAUUGGUCCUUGCAGCUUAUGAAGGCAUCAACUAUUGGCGGCACAAAAUUGUGGAGCUUAAGAUUCCCCACCCUUAUUUCUGAAGGAAAGCUAAAGUUCGGGGUGCUAAUCUCCGAGGAUUUUCUCAAUGGUGAACAUUUUUCUUUUGUUUCUCUUGUUCUAAUCUAUACCUCAAGAUGCAAUAGUUCUUAUUGUACUGCUUGGAUUGCUCUCUCAUUGUAAUCAAUACUGUUAAUUAAUAUAUAAUAAUCAUAUAUUUUCCAUGCAGGAGGGUUUAUUUAACACUAACAAGCCUUUCAAGUUUUUAUAUGGUAAUAUGGUGAUAGGUUGGAAUGUUUCAUCACCCAGGAAUGUGGAUUACUAUCGCAGGAUAUUUUUCCUCUUGAUGGUGCUUCCACUGAAUGUUAUGCACCCUUGUACGACCAUAUAUCUAAGUUUGCAUGUUCAUUCAGAAGAUUAUAUUGACUAUUCAAUUCAGGGUUCAACCUUUGAAUAACACAGUUCUGGCUCAGUAGUUUGAGAUUCUAUUGUGCACCUGGAUCUUGAUAGACAUCUAGACCUAUAGCUGCGUUUUAUUUUCGUUAUCCCUUUUAGAAACUUACACGCUAACUUGGUGGAUUAAACCGGUGUUCUAAUUAAAUGAUAAAUGAGUAUAAAGAUUUUCUUUUUUUACUGUUAUAUGACAAAAUGAAUGAACAUGUGAUCGCUAUCCAGAUUAGUCAGGCCAUCUUGCAAAUAACUAUGGGAUACAUUACUGAUAUUUUCUUAGGAUGGCCAAAUAGACAUGCAUUCUUUGCUAGGUUAAGUUUUGUUAUUCUUUGUACUUAUUUGCUCAAUCUUUGUAGUGAAAUAUUGCAAGAUGAGGAAAUGGCUCAACUUCAGAGUUUCAGUUAAGUGCACAGUUAAAGAAAAAUUGUAACAACUCGGAU